rnacentral:rRNA from 1 species
GAUGAACGCUGGCGGCGUGCCUAAUACAUGCAAGUCGAACGAACAGACGAUGAUCUUGCUGCUCUGACGUUAGCGGCGGGCGUGUGAGUAACACGUGUAUAACCUACCUAUAAGACUGGGAUAACUUCGGGAAACCGGAUCUAAUACCGGAUAAUAUAUUGAACCGCAUGGGUCAAUGGUAAAAUACGGUUGUUGGGUCACUUAUAGAUGGUUCCCCGCCGCAUUGGCUGGUUGGUAAGGUAAAGGCCUACGAAGGCAACGAUGCGUAGCCGACCUGAGAGGGUGGUCGGCCACCCUGGAACUGAGACACGGUCCAGACGACUACGGGAGGCAGCAGUAGGGAAUCGUACGCAAUGGGCGAAAGAUUGACGGAGCAACGCGGAGUGAGUGAUGACGGUCUUCGGAUCGUAAAACUCUGUUAUGGGGGAAGAACAAAUGUGUAAGUAAACAUGGCCGUCUUGACGGUAACUAAUAAGAAAGCACCGGCUAACUACGUG